GUUGUUCAGCUAUGGAGGUCAGACUGAGAUCUACUGAGACACAUCUGGAGCAGCUGGAGAAUCACACUGCAGAUCUGGAGGUCAAACUGAGAGUCAGUGAGAAACAGCUGGAAGAUCUGAAGACAGAAAACACAGUUCAAUCUGUUCAACUUUCCUUGAUGGAGUCCAGACUGAUAGACAGCCUCAAAAACACUACAGAUCUGGAGGUCAAACUGAGAGUCAGUGAGAAACAGCAUGAAGAUCUGAAGAAAGAAAACACAGAUUUGAGCUUCAGAUUGAAUCAAACUGAUGAUCGUCUGCAGAAGCUCACAGACACCAACUCAGGUGAGCUGAAGGUGGCGUUCUCCGCCGGUCUGACUGAUUCAGGAUCAGUCGGACCGUUUGACCAGGAGACGACUCUGAUCUUCUCCAAAACCAUCACCAACAUCGGCCGAGCCUACAACCAGACUGCAGGUGUGUUCACCGCUCCCGUCAGAGGACUCUACUUCUUCAGCUUCACGGCUGCAGACUACCUGAAGGGCUACAUGGGUCUCCACCUGUACAGGAACAACCAGCCCGUCGCCUUCAGCCUGGACCUGAAUGACCAUGGCGGCUACGCUUCCACGUCCAGCGGCGUGGCACUGCAGCUGGAGGCGGGCGACGCGGUCCGGCUCAGCCUGCCCGCCAGCUACCGGCUCUACGACGACUCACGGAACUUCAGCUUCUUCUCCGGCUUCCUGCUGUUCCCCCUCUGACCUCGGAUCAGGGUCGGAGUGAGACCUCCUCUCAGCAACAAACUAUCCCUUCAGGCAUCCUGCUGUGACCAUAAAAGGACUCCUGCCCUCCUCCUCCUCCUCGUCUUCCUCCUCCUUAUCGCUGUCAGACGACAUGUUGACGA